rnacentral:rRNA from 1 species
AUUGAACGCUGGCGGCAGGCCUAACACAUGCAAGUCGAGCGAGCGGCGGACGGGUGAGUAAUGUAUGGGGACUGCCCGAUAGAGGGGGAUAACUCCUGGACACGGUGGCUAAUACCGCAUACUAUCGGAUAACCCAUAUGGGAUUAGCUAGUAGGUGGGGUACAGGCUCACCUAGGCGACGAUCUCUAGCUGGUCUGAGAGGAUGCGCGGCUACACUAGGACUGAGACAGCGCCCAGACUCCUACGGAGGUAGCAGGGGGGAAUAUUGCACAAUGGGCGAAAGCCUGAUGCAGCCAUGCCACGUGUAUGAGGAAGGCCUUAGAGUUGUAAAGUACUUUCAGCGGGGAGGCGUUACCCGCAGAGGAAGCACCGGCUAACUCCGUGCCAGCAGCCGCGGUAAUAC